rnacentral:rRNA from 1 species
GACGAACGCUGGCGGCGUGCCUAAUACAUGCAAGUAGAACGCACAGUUUAUACCGUAGCUUGCUACACCAUAGACUGUGAGUUGCGAACGGGUGAGUAACGCGUAGGUAACCUGCCUGGUAGCGGGGGAUAACUAUUGGAAACGAUAGCUAAUACCGCAUAAUAUUGAUUAUUGCAUGAUAAUUGAUUGAAAGAUGCUAUUGCAUCACUACCAGAUGGACCUGCGUUGUAUUAGCUAGUAGGUGAGGUAACGGCUCACCUAGGCGACGAUACAUGGCCGACCUGAGAGGGUGAUCGGCCACACUGGGACUGAGACACGGCCCAGACUCCUACGGGAGGCAGCAGUAGGGAAUCUUCGGCAAUGGACGAAAGUCUGACCGAGUAACGCCGCGUGAGUGAAGAAGGUUUUCGGAUCGUAAAGCUCUGUUGUAAGAGAAGAACGGGUGUGAGAGUGGAAAGUUCACACUGUGACGGUAUCUGACCAGAAAGGGACGGCUAACUACGUG